AUUGAACGCUGGCGGCAUGCUUUACACAUGCAAGUCGAACGGCAGCACGGGGGCAACCCUGGUGGCGAGUGGCGAACGGGUGAGUAAUACAUCGGGACGUGCCCGGUCGUGGGGGAUAACGUAGCGAAAGUUACGCUAAUAACGCAUACGAUCUGAGGAUGAAAGCGGGGGACCUUCGGGCCUCGCGCGAUCGGAGCGGCCGAUGUCAGAUUAGGUAGCUGGUGGGGUAAAGGCCUACCAAGCCGACGAUCUGUAGCUGGUCUGAGAGGACGACCGGCCACACUGGGACUGAGACACGGCCCAGACGCCUACGGGAGGCAGCAGUGUGGAAUUGUGGGCAAUGGGCGCGAGCCUGAUCCAGCCAUUCCGCGUGCAGGACGAAGGCCUUCGGGUUGUAAUCUGCUUUUGUAUGGAACGAAAAGGCUCUGGCUAAUACCUGGGGCUCAUGACGGUACCGUAAGAAUAAGCACCGGCUAACUACGUG
rnacentral:rRNA from 1 species